rnacentral:rRNA from 1 species
UACGUAGGGUGCGAGCGUUAAUCGGAAUUACUGGGCGUAAAGCGUGCGUAGGCGGUUCGCUGUGUCCGAUGUGAAAGCCCCGGGCUUAACCUGGGAAUGGCAUUGGAAACUGGCGGGCUUGAGUGCGGCAGAGGGGGGUGGAAUUCCGCGUGUAGCAGUGAAAUGCGCAGAUAUCGGGAGGAACACCAAUGGCGAAGGCAGCUCGCUGGGACGGUACUGACGCUGAGGCGCGAAAGCGUGGGGAGCAAACAGG